UUUAUAGAAGACGAACCACAUCUGGGCCUAGAGCCAAGUCACCGCUGGGCCUCUUAUCACUGGUUUGUGUGGCUCAGGGCUGCCUUCAUUGACUUUGGGGUUAGGAAGUCUCUGUGGAUGUUAAUGUUAAAGAUUGUAAGAGCAC